AUUUGCUCUUCUUCUUUUCUCAAAUUCACAGUACUUUCAGAUUGUUAGCUAUUAAAAUAAACUCAGUUUUCUGAAAAGUGAAAUCUAAUGUGAAAACAAUGAACUGAUUUAAUUCUACAGAAGAUAGAGGCAGAUAUUGUCAACAGAAACAGAGAUACAAUUUCAAGCAACAUGGAAGACUCCUUGAAAUGGUUUCACAUUUUUUAUGACUGUAAAGAUGAUGCCUCAGCAAUUCCUGCUCCUCAUGUGUCCCAGAACAAAGAGCAAAGCCACUGGAAGCAGCUACAUGGACAGCAGGAUGAACAUAUACGGUAUCAACUGAACCUGGAUUUGACAAAGACAGAAGUUGUGCUGCAGGAGCAUUCACAC
rnacentral:lncRNA from 1 species